rnacentral:rRNA from 1 species
CAAGGCUGAGGCGUGACGACGAGGCACUACGGUGCUGAAGCAACAAAUGCCCUGCUUCCAGGAAAAGCCUCUAAGCAUCAGGUAACAUCAAAUCGUACCCCAAACCGACACAGGUGGUCAGGUAGAGAAUACCAAGGCGCUUGAGAGAACUCGGGUGAAGGAACUAGGCAAAAUGGUGCCGUAACUUCGGGAGAAGGCACGCUGACACGUAGGUGAAGUGAUUUACUCAUGGAGCUGAAGUCAGUCGAAGAUACCAGCUGGCUGCAACUGUUUAUUAAAAACACAGCACUGUGCAAACACGAAAGUGGACGUAUACGGUGUGACGCCUGCCCGGUGCCGGAAGGUUAAUUGAUGGGGUCAGCGCAAGCGAAGCUCCUGAUCGAAGCCCCGGUAAACGGCGGCCGUAACUAUAACGGUCCUAAGGUAGCGAAAUUCCUUGUCGGGUAAGUUCCGACCUGCACGAAUGGCGUAAUGAUGGCCAGGCUGUCUCCACCCGAGACUCAGUGAAAUUGAACUCGCUGUGAAGAUGCAGUGUACCCGCGGCAAGACGGAAAGACCCCGUGAACCUUUACUAUAGCUUGACACUGAACAUUGAGCCUUGAUGUGUAGGAUAGGUGGGAGGCUUUGAAGUGUGGACGCCAGUCUGCAUGGAGCCGACCUUGAAAUACCACCCUUUAAUGUUUGAUGUUCUAACGUGGACCCGUAAUCCGGGUUGCGGACAGUGUCUGGUGGGUAGUUUGACUGGGGCGGUCUCCUCCUAAAGAGUAACGGAGGAGCACGAAGGUUGGCUAAUCCUGGUCGGACAUCAGGAGGUUAGUGCAAUGGCAUAAGCCAGCUUGACUGCGAGCGUGACGGCGCGAGCAGGUGCGAAAGCAGGUCAUAGUGAUCCGGUGGUUCUGAAUGGAAGGGCCAUCGCUCAACGGAUAAAAGGUACUCCGGGGAUAACAGGCUGAUACCGCCCAAGAGUUCAUAUCGACGGCGGUGUUUGGCACCUCGAUGUCGGCUCAUCACAUCCUGGGGCUGAAGUAGGUCCCAAGGGUAUGGCUGUUCGCCAUUUAAAGUGGUACGCGAGCUGGGUUUAGAACGUCGUGAGACAGUUCGGUCCCUAUCUGCCGUGGGCGCUGGAGAACUGAGGGGGGCUGCUCCUAGUACGAGAGGACCGGAGUGGACGCAUCACUGGUGUUCGGGUUGUCAUGCCAAUGGCACUGCCCGGUAGCUAAAUGCGGAAGAGAUAAGUGCUGAAAGCAUCUAAGCACGAAACUUGCCCCGAGAUGAGUUCUCCCUGAGACUUAGAGUCUCCUGAAGGAACGUUGAAGACGACGACGUUGAUAGGCCGGGUGUGUAAGCGCAGCGAUGCGUUGAGCUAACCGGUACUAAUGAACCGUGAGG